rnacentral:ncRNA from 3 species
UGUAACAGCAACUCCAUGUGGAU